rnacentral:rRNA from 1 species
GAGCAGCGCAAGGGUGAGUAAUACAUGGCUAACAUACCCCAUACAUGAGAAUAACUAUUAGAAAUGAUAGCUAAUGCUCAAUAGUUUCUUAAGGCCGCAUGGUCUAAAGAAUAAAGGUAGGGAUCCUUCGGGACCUUCUGGUUUGGGAGUGGGUCAUGGGCUAUCAGCUAGUUGGUGAGGUAAAGGCUCACCAAGGCUAAGACGGCUAGGCGAUCUGAGAGGAUGAUCGCCCACAUCGGGACUGAGACACUGCCCGGACUCCUACGGGAGGCUGCAGUCGAGAAUCUUCCGCAAUGGGCGCAAGCCUGACGGAGCGACGCCGCGUGAGGGACGAAGGCUUUAGGGUCGUAAACCUCUUUCGCUUGUUAAGAAAAGUGUAUGUUAAUAGCAUGCACCCUGACAAAGGCAAGUAAAGAAGCACCGGCUAAAUCCGUGCCAGCAGCCGCGGUAAUACGGAUGGUGCAAGCGUUACUCGGAAUCACUGGGCGUAAAGCGUUCGUAGGUGGUUUGUUAAGUUGGAUGUGUAAUCCCACGGCUCAACCGUGGAACUGCGUUCAAAACUGAUGAACUAGAGAGCAGUAGGGGACAAGGGAACUUCAGGUGGAGCGGUGAAAUGCGUAGAUAUCUGAAGGAACACCGAUGGCGAAAGCACUUGUCUGGGCUGAUUCUGACACUGAGGAACGAAAGCUAGGGUAGCGAACGGGAUUAGAUACCCCGGUAGUCCUAGCCGUAAACGAUGGAUACUAGCUUGUGGGAUCUUCGGAUUUCACUGGCGUAGCUAACGCGUUAAGUAUCCCGCCUGGGGAGUAUGCACGCAAGUGUAAAACUCAAAGGAAUUGACGGGGGCUCACACAAGCGGUGGAGCAUGUGGUUUAAUUCGAAGCUACGCGAAGAACCUCACCCAGGUUUGACAUGGAUGAAUUAGGUCUGAGAAACCAGACUGACACCCUUCGGGGCGGAACAUUCACAGGUGUUGCAUGGCUGUCGUCAGCUCGUGUCGUGAGAUGUCGGGUUAAGUCCCUAAACGAGCGAAACCCCUAUUGUUAGUUGCUAACGAGUAAUGUCGAGGACUUUAACAAGACCGCCGUGGUUAACACGGAGGAAGGUGGGGAUGACGUCAAGUCAUCAUGGCCCUUAUACCUGGGGCUACACACGUGCUACAAUGGGCAGUACAGAGGGUUGCGAAGUCGUGAGGCUAAGCUAAUCCCUUAAAGCUGCUCCUAGUUCGGAUUGUAGGCUGAAACUCGCCUACAUGAAGCUGGAAUCGCUAGUAAUCGCGGGUCAGCAUACCGCGGUGAAUAUGUUCCUGAGCCUUGUACACACCGCCCGUCAAGCCACGAAAGUUGGUAGUGCUUGAAGACGUACGUUUAACCUUCGGGAGAGCGUGCGCCCAUGGCAAGAUCGAUAAU